rnacentral:lncRNA from 1 species
GAGUUUGACCACCAAUAAACGACAUUAGUAGUGCAUGAAGCGUUGUGCAGCUCAUCAAGAAUGGUUAUAACAAACGCCAACAAUUUUAAAUUAGAUCAUCUGGGUUAAGAACCAAAAGUAUGUAUUAGCACCAUGCUUCUCUUCCCAAACGCUCGGCAAACCUUCCAAUGAUUAACACAGUGUUGAUGCCAUCUGAUUAAGUCUGAUUCACUCUUAACUCUCCAAUGCCAGAACCGACUGGAUUGGAGCCACCUCAGAUUCGGUGCUACACAUAACCCGCAUUACAUCUAUGCUUCGGUAAAUACACUUGCUAAUCACGUCAAUACGAAAGCACAGCGAGGUUCCUAAGCACUUAAGAACUUCGAAUACCUUGCCCAGUGAGACCUUGCAUAUCCAGCAAUGACAUCACCGGGAUUGAACCAUUUGGCAAUGACAAAUUGCUGGACUAAAGCACGCUCAUCCUCACCCCAUCAUUCCCAUCCACACUCAGCAUCAAGUUCUGACUACCAACGUUGACAUGUAUGCACCAUACUCGACCCUCCUAUCGGCUCACUCCAUGGCCCCGAACUCACCCAUAGCCUAAAUAACUUCUGAUGUGGCAUCGCGCCCAACCUCAAUCUUCGGUGACCUUCCUCGGUUGGUUUGCCAUCAGCUCCUCUUUCUUAUCCUCAUCAACAAAUCAUGUAAUCUAUACAAAUAUAACUUCAGGUCAAAGGCUCCAUCAGCUCAUUACAGCUAUCUAAAGUCACCUCACUGUUCCCUGCAAACCAUUAUGUUUAAAUAUUAGAAAACAAAUACAAAUGAUUUGAAUUAUAAAAAGCAAGGCAUCAAACCUCUUUAGAGAAAGGCUAUUAUUUAUUUCUCAAGUUAGGUACUAAAACUACACAGUAGCGUAUAACUACUACUUAUUCUGAAUACAAAUAUUGUAGUAAACAACGAAUUAAAUUAUUGUUACCAUUUUCUACAUUUAUCUUCUAGAGCACAAAUUUAUGUAUUCAAGACACAUACAUUUGCAAGUGUUUUUUACUACUAGCACCAACGUUGAGCUAAAAUAGACCUAGCAUAAAAUCUGAGAUUGGCAUAUAGCACAAGAACUAAAAUAGUCCACUCUGUACCUUGAAUAUGUACUCUACAGUACAUCUACAUCACUCCAUUGCCCACAGUCGACAAACGACACACCUUUUUCUUACAUCACUGCACGGUGGCACUGAUUCAAAGAAUUGGUAUGCAUGGACCACAACGCCAGCAAAACCCGGCAACCAUGACCUGUAAAACCCUUGAUGCUCUUUCAGUUUUAUCAUGGGCCUUGAAAUAUAUUGCACAAUCAUGGUAGAACGUCGACAUUUGAAGGUGAAGCUGGAUAUUAUGACUUCAAAGAGCCUUGAUGCUGUUUCAGUUUUAUGAUGGAUCUUGUAAUAUAUUCCACGUAUACAAAAAUAUAUAUAUUUAUGUAUGUCAAAAAAAUUACUCAUGUUACAGAUUGUAAAAAAAUUCUUGACACACAAAAAGAAAAACCAAUUGAACACGGAAUUAAUUUUAUAAAAAACUAAUAUCCAACACAGUAUAUAAUUACAUAAAUUAACAUUAUUGUUUCAGUUACAACUCAUUUCUUAGCACGUAAAUAUGAUGUGAGAUCAAGCAGUAAGAACAUCUAACGAGUUUUCUUAGUACAAAAUUUAAUUAUUGUUAGAGAGAGAAAACAUACCCUGCGUAAGUCUCUUUUUCUCUAUUAUCCGGCCGA